rnacentral:lncRNA from 1 species
CAAUGCCAGCUGCAGUCCCUCUGAGAGCUGAAACUGUCUGGUCUUUGGAUAUGUGGCAGGAUAUGUGAAUUCUGAUGAGGGCAGGAAUAAUAUUUAGCACUAGCAAAGAUUUUCUUUAAAGGUAAAGCUGCUGUUUCUUGGUAACACAGAGCACUUUACUGUCCAGCUUGUCAUGGUUGUGUGAUUUGUGUUGCAAAGAAUCUCUGCUUCAUCUCUGCUCUGUAUUCCUGCUGGCUUCUGUCAGCCGAGGGUACAUCCAGGUACUCAAGGACCUGUAAGUGUCCAUCACAGUUCAAUGGCCCCUUUUAUUUCUCACAAUCAAGUCCCAUAAGGUUCUAGUGACAGCCAUUAAGUCUUUAUGACAUGUUAUGGAAGCGAGGUAAAAGGAACAUUUAGUUAGAGACUGAGUGAAGCUUUCUAUUCAAAAUUCACCUCAAAUGAGGGUCAAUGUAGGACACACAAGUGCACAAGCCAAAUGUGGGCAAUGGAGACAGAGAAUAGAGUUGAAUCUGGGCAGUUCAUGCCCUUUUCAAGUGCCAGAGCUCUUGAGGUACUGAAAAAUGGGGCAACUCUCUCCUCCAGAGCAGUCCUGAGAACUACUGCUGCUCAACAUGUUUAUGUUUAUGUUCUGUGAAAAUUCUUGAAAUUAAGUAUUUUGUAUUAGCCAGAACAUGUCAAAUUAAAUAAAUUUCUAAUAAUUUGUUUGGCAAGAAGAUUCAAAUUCUGAAUUUCCACUUUUUAUUUGGCUUCCAAGGUACAAAAUCAAUUAUUUGACAGCCAUCUGGUAGAUGUGUCUGAUGAAAUUGCUCAGAACAAAUUUUACUGAAAAUUUUCUGUGUUUAUGUAAACAUAAUUUUCUGUGUUUAUGAUAACCUCAUUGUUAAGAAAAUAUUGAAAAUAUUUUAACCAUUUAUCUUCCCUUUGGCUCCCCCAUUUCUGUAAAGUUUUCAAGGACAACCAAAACAUCCAAACACAGCUUGUUCUUUUCUGUCAGGAUUUCCAUGCUCAAUGUGGGGUACCCUUGAAAGACCUGUGAGGAGAGCAAUCUGUGGUUUUAUGGGUGUUUUCUAAAAAUGUAUGUAUCUUCUCAUUGUGUUGCACUCUGAGGAGCAAGAUAUGUGCUAUUUCUUUCUUUUGUAAGUACAGAAAAUGAGGCACAGGUAGGCAGAUUGUUGACCUGACUUUACCCAGGCAAAGCACCCAGAAGGGCUUUGGGUCAGAGGUUCUCUUAUCUUUAUUGAAUUGAAAGAGUUAGCAGUAAGGUACAGUAAGUGAUCACAGUCAUGGUCACAGCACUGCAAACUAAGGAGAGAAGUCUAGAUGUUCUCCAGAAGGUGUCCACACUCAAAUGGUUGUACUUACUCAGCCGAAUGGGCAGCAGCUGCUGUUUGUGGCUGUUGGAAGCUGAGCAGUGAAACUGUUGAACAAUUGCAUGUAACCUAAUUUUGGGUUUCAGAUUCUAUACUGUCCUAGCAGCAGGAAUUAAUAUGAUCACCUUACCAGGAGCACUGGCUGGGAA